AUGUGGAAAGACUGGAGAUCUACAGCAGAUAAGCAUGGCAAUUCAGAUCUUGGACUCCAAAAGUGAUUUGCAGAAGACAUCUUGGAAUGCAUGGGGCUGGAUUUUCUGACGGUUACUGCUCGCAUCUCUGCCUCCUGAACAGAAAUGCCUUGCUGAAUGUUGAAUGACCAUCAACUCAACCUUGCCAAGACAGAACUGCUCAUGUUUUCAGCCAUCCCAACCUUGGUGUUACAGUGGACACAUAUGAACUUCAUUGACCACAUUGCAGUGGCCCGAUCCUGCAGAUUUGCCCUUAUGGGGCAUGCAACAGAACUGCUUGUCCAAGCUCUUAUUUUCUCUCCAUUCACAUCACAUCACAAAGAGGUACAAAUUCACUUUCACAGACCUUUACUUUGACUGUUUGAUGCCUAACUCUGCCCAUUUUCAAGAAAUGGCUAAAAAAUUAUUUUUUUUGUUUUUCAUGAACGCUUGACCAAUUAAAGGGAUAGUUCAC